rnacentral:SRP_RNA from 1 species
GGUUGGGCCCUGUGCAACAUUGCCUUCCGCGAACCCCGCCAGGUCUGGAAGGAAGCAACGGUAGCGAGAGGGGGUGUGUGCCGCAGGUCGCCUGACCCCC